GCAAGUCGAACGAGAAAACUCUUCGGAGUGAGUAUAGUGGCGAACGGGUGAGUAAUGCAUGGGAACGUACCUAGUUUGGGAUAACCACUGGAAACGGUGGCUAAUACCGGAUGUGUUCUUCGGAAUAAAGUUGGCCUCUGAUAUAAGCUAGCGCUAGUAGAUCGGCCCAUGUCCCAUUAGCUUGUUGGUGAGGUAAAGGCUCACCAAGGCUUCGAUGGGUAGCUGGUCUGAGAGGAUGAUC
rnacentral:rRNA from 1 species